GCUCCUUUCCAGUCUCUUAAUAGAGAACAGGAAAUAGCCUGUCGAUACCUAAUGAAACACUCAUUUAGGUAACUCAACAGGACUUAAAGUCUUAUUUAUAAGGGUUAAUAUACUUCCAUCUUUGUGUAAUUUUGAAAUACGAAGAGCAAAUGGUAAAAUGAAAGUUAUACCCUUUCAUGUUAGUCUUAAUAUGGCCAUUUAUUUUGCAGAGAAGAAAUAGUUAUAUAUGGGUGUAUAUUAAGAUUUCAUUUUUUCUGUCUUCUUUGGGAAAAAAUUCUAAUCUUUUUUAUUCAAGUUUAAGUUGAUGCCAAAUAAUUCCAGUAUUGAGCAUCUUAAAUCUGUUACUUGGAUUAUGGAUUGAGUUUGGCGCUAACUCAGAGGACUACAGGCAAGUAUUCAGGAGAUAGCCAGAGGGAUAUUUUAGUAGGUGAACAAUUUAUUUCACAUACUGUGUUCAAAUUCAGGUAUCUUAAAAUCACAUAUAUGUAACAUAGAAUUGAAAAUUUGAUCAUAGACUAAAUAUCAUAUUUAACAGUAAAGAUUUUCUUCAAUUAGUUGUGUGUCCUUUUAAUUGUUAGAAUUAGAAGUGUUUUUAAACCACCAAGUAUCAUUAGUGGUAUCCUUGGUUAGUCAUAACUGGAUUAAAAGGAUUAUACUUUAAUAAACUUUGACCUCUAAGUGUUUUUAUGUAUUUAGAAGUUGACAUUCUAAAUCAUUUUUUUUUUCCUUUUGCAGGUGGAUAUUACUAGCCCUUAUUCAUGGAAAAAGUUUUAUGCUAAGUGUUGUUUUUCAUUGAGUAUUAGCAAAAAGGAGAAAAAUUAAUAUCCUAAUCUUUUGAGAUUAGAUUUGGCUGUAGUAAGUAAUA
rnacentral:lncRNA from 1 species